UAUAUGUGAAUUUGAAUGCUAAUGACGCGCACCCAUCCAUGUCUAUGUUUGAAGAAGAAACCUCCCCUGAAAACACCGCGCCGGUUUCUCCAGAAGCUGAGCUUCUGUUCAGCAAAUGGUCACCUUCUAAAUACAUUUGGAGAGGCUUAUCGGUUCCUUUGGUAGGAGAAGUAAUGUUUUUGGUUUGUAGUGUAGAGUAGGGUAAAUGUGAAUACAUAAAAACGUAGAGAGGCGUAUAUUAUAGAGAGAGUGUGCCCUUAAAGAACGGACCGGCUGAACAAAAAGAUAACGUUGUUGUCUCCGUAAAGGUUACAAAGACUCUCAGUCAUGUGACCACCACCAUUUCUCUUUUCACACACAUAAUGAUGAUAUAUUUUCCUUGAAAUAUUGGUUAUUCAUCUAUGCAUACGGUCGCAAAAAAAAAAAAAAAAAUUUACACAAACGGGCUAUAUGUAGAAGGCAUUAAGUCCACACUUCAAUUGUAAGAGGUAUUGGGCUUUACGGCCCAGAUUAUUAUUUUUCUGCUGCUUCCUCUUUGCCUGGGACUGUUAGCUCUCUGUUACUUUCUCCUCUCUCGAUGAAUUCAUCUUCUUCGACCUUCUUAGCUUCCUAGUUUCUCUUCGUUUCUAUUCUAAACGUAAGUUCUGUUGAAGAUUCUAAUUCAUACAUGCUACUUUCUCCACUAGUAGUUACUCGAAGUAUACGGAUCUCGAAGUAUUAGAUUGAAUUCGAAAAUGAAUGCCUUAUAGAUUGAUUGAUUAAUUGUUCAGGAAGUGUUGCUUAGUUAUGGAAUCGUUAGCGUCGAUUUGGAUCUGCGAUAUAAAUCAAUUCAAAAUUGAUUAUGGAUUUUCUAUGUCAUAUUGCUUAAGUUAGCAUGCUAAUUAGGUUUCGUGUCACGAUUUACUAGCUGGGAAUUGAAUCAGUGAGCUCCUAAGGAAGAAGACAAGAAUGAUGAAGACGUGUUGUCUCCAUCAUCAGUCUUUGAGUUCCCCACCUCAUAGGUAAUCUUAAAAUGUUUCUCCUUUGCUUGCUUCACUGUCAGAUUGAUUCCAAUAUGUUAUAUUGGAUUCUUGCAGAACUCUUCCAAGGUGUGAUGCUUCUGCCAUCGGUAUUAAACCCCCAAGAGUUUGUAAACUUGGUUUCACUGGAAAAAACCAUCCUUUGGGGAUUUCGAACCUUACACGGGGAAGGAGAUUAUAUGUGAAUUUGAAUGCUAAUGACGCGCACCCAUCCAUGUCUAUGUUUGAAGAAGAAACCUCCCCUGAAAACACCGCGCCGGUUUCUCCAGAAGCUGAGCUUCUGUUCAGCAAAUGGUCACCUUCUAAAUACAUUUGGAGAGGCUUAUCGGUUCCCAUCAUAGCAGGACAAGUCGUUCUCCGGAUACUGAAGGGUAAGAUCCACUGGAGAAACACUCUUCAGCAGCUGGAGAGAACCGGACCCAAG
rnacentral:lncRNA from 1 species